rnacentral:rRNA from 1 species
AGAUGGGGAUAACGGCUGGAAACGGUCGCUAAUACCGAAUACGCUCCCGAUUUUAUCGUUGGGGGGAAAGAUGGCCUCUGCUUGCAAGCUAUCGCUUAAGGAUGAGUCCGCGUCCCAUUAGCUAGUUGGCGGGGUAACGGCCCACCAAGGCGACGAUGGGUAGCCGGUCUGAGAGGAUGACCGGCCACACUGGAACUGGAACACGGUCCAGACUCCUACGGGAGGCAGCAGUGGGGAAUAUUGCGCAAUGGGCGAAAGCCUGACGCAGCGACGCCGCGUGAGGGAUGAAGGUUCUCGGAUCGUAAACCUCUGUCAGGGGGGAAGAAACCCCCUCGUGUGAAUAAUGCGAGGGCUUGACGGUACCCCCAAAGGAAGCACCGGCUAACUCCGUGCCAGCAGCCGCGGUAAUACGGAGGGUGCAAGCGUUAAUCGGAAUCACUGGGCGUAAAGCGCACGUAGGCGGCUUGGUAAGACAGGGGUGAAAAUCCCCACAGCCCAAACUGUGGAACUGCCUUUGAUA